rnacentral:rRNA from 1 species
UACGGGGGGAGCAAGCGUUGUUCGGAUUUACUGGGCGUAAAGGGCGCGUAGGCGGCCACCGCAAGUCAAUUGUGAAAUCUCCGGGCUUAACUCGGAAAGGUCAACUGAUACUGCGGGGCUAGAGUGCGGAAGGGGCAACUGGAAUUCUCGGUGUAGCGGUGAAAUGCGUAGAUAUCGAGAGGAACACCGGUGGCGAAGGCGGCAUCCUGGACCAUUACUGACACUGAAAAGCGAAAGCCAGGGGAGCAAACGGG